rnacentral:rRNA from 1 species
GAAUCUUGCGCAAUGGGCGAAAGCCUGACGCAGCCAUGCAGCGUGCUUGAUGAAUGUCUUAGGAUUGUAAUAUUCUUUCUCCGGGGAUGAUAAUGAAGGUACCCGGAGAACAAGCCUCGGUUACCUUCGUGCCCGCAGCAGCGGUAGUACGAAGGGGGCUAGCGUUGCUCGGAAUUACUGGGGGUAAAGGGCGCGUAGGCGGAUCGUUAAGUCAGAGGUGAAAUCCCGGAGCUCAACGUCGGAAUGGCCUGUGAUACUGGCGAUCUUGAGAGUGAGAGAGGUAUGUGGAACUCCGAGUGUAGAGGUGAAAGUCGUAGAUAUUCGGAAGAACACCAGUGGCGAAGGCGACAUACUGGCUCAUUACUGACGCUGAGGCGCGAAAGCGUGGGGAGCAAACA